UUUACCUUUUUUAAAUCCUUUUUGAAAACAAACUUCAGCUCACUUUUUGUAAGCAAUGUUGCAGAUCUGCCAAGAAUUAGUGAUUGGAAUAUGGGCUAUAUAUAAAAACAAACCCAAAAUAGCCCAGAACUAUUAAAAAACAUACAUGGCCAUUCAAGUUGUUUGAUGUUACAAAUCUAAUCAUGUCUUACUUUCACUCCUUUGUGUUUAUUACCCUUCAAGAUUGUAAGAUUUUUGGCGGAAGGACUUGUCUUUCUCUGUGUUCUGUAAAGCCUCUAACAUGCUCUUGAGCACAGUAAAAGUAAUAAUCGAAUGGCAAAUACGUAGGUGCAUGCGUUUGCCUAUUUGACUUUUGUUGUCUCUCUGAGAAGAAAAGAAAGAUGCUGCAGCUAAUAGAAGGAAGAAACAAAAGAAGCCUGUACCUGUCGCACUUCAUUCCGAUCCAUUUCACUCACACCAAUGCCACACCGAACAAGGAAACUCCGAACAGGAGAGUGACCUGAAUCCUUAAGGAAAACAAAACCAAAUCUGAAUAGUGCCUUGAGAAGACAGACCACACCCUGUCACAUACGAAGAAUGGUCAAUUUGUGAUAUCCUGUAAUUAAAUUCCUUGAUGACAAAUAGCCAAUAGCAAUUUUGGAAUGCCGCCUGGUUAAUUUACAUGUUGCAAUUUGUGUAGCAUAUGGAUAUAUAAGGGACUCGGUUGAAGUUGGACCAAGAAAAGCGAUCUCUCCAAGA